rnacentral:misc_RNA from 1 species
GUGAAUCAUCGAAUCUUUGAACGCACAUUGCGCCCCUUGGUAUUCCGAGGGGCAUGCCUAUUCGAGCGUCAUUAUCACCCCUCAAGCUUUAGCUUGGUGUUGAGGCCUGCUGUUAAGGCAGCCUCUAAAAUCAGUGGCAGUGCUGUCAGGCUCUAAGCGUAGUAAAAUUCAUCGCUAUAGACACCGGAUGGACACUCGCCAGAACCCCCAUCUUUUAAUGAUUGACCUCGGAUUAGGUAGGGAUACCCGCUGAACUUAAGCAUAUCAAUAAGCGGAGGA